CCUACGGGAGGCAGCAGUGGGGAAUAUUGGGCAAUGGGCGCAAGCCUGACCCAGCAACGCCGCGUGAAGGAAGAAGGCUUUCGGGUUGUAAACUUCUUUUCUCAGGGACGAGGAAGGUGACAGUAGCUGAGGAAUAAGCCACUGCUAACUACGUACCAGCAGCCGCGGUAAUACGGGGGUGGCAAGCGUUCGGCGGAUUUAUUUGGGGUAAAGGGCGUGUAGGCGGGUGCGUAAGUUAGAUGUGAAAAGGCAGGGCUCAACCCUGAGCCUGCAUUUGAAACUGUGUGUCUUGAGUGCAGGAGAGGAAAGUGGAAUUCCGGGUGUAGCGGUGAAAUGCGUAGAUAUAAGGAGGAACACCAGUGGCGAAGGCGGAUUGCUGGACAGUAACUGACGCUGAGGCGCGAAAGCGUGGGGAGCAAACAGGAUUAGAUACCCUUGUAGUC
rnacentral:rRNA from 1 species